rnacentral:rRNA from 1 species
UACGUAGGGUGCGAGCGUUUAAUCGGAAUUACUGGGCGUAAAGCGUGCGCAGGCGGUUAUUUAAGUCAGGUGUGAAAGCCCUGGGCUUAACCUAGGAAUGGCGCUUGAGACUGGAUAGCUUGGAGUGUGGCAGAGGGAGGUGGAAUUCCACGUGUAGCAGUGAAAAUGCGUAGAGAUGUGGAGGAACACCGAUGGCGAAGGCAGCCUCCUGGGCCAGCACUGACGCUCAUGCACGAAAGCGUGGGGAGCAAACAGG